ensembl:lncRNA
CCGACAUCAGCAUCAAUAUACAACUACAUAUAAUCAUCACCAGUGACGCAAAAGACAGCGUCGCGAGUUUGUGUCGAGUUCGGCCACUCAAAAGUAGAAGUAUGAACAAACCUGUGGGUGAACGCACACGCACAGAUCUUUGAUGCAUCAUUUUCUUCAAGGCUGCAUGGAUACACUUUAUCAUGAAACUCGUUGAGGUUUUACUAAUUUACGCGAGAGCAAUGAAUCAAUCCACCGCGCAUCAGCACAGGGGUUGGUAAUCCCUCGUCCGAAUGGGAGCGUCGACAACUCAUACUGUAGACUCUGUGGCAUGUACUGUAGCUCGUAUUGGUAAAUAAAACAGUACGGGACGAAGAGACUGGUGCUAUAUUUCUCAAUUUGGAAAGUGUAGCUUCAGUCGGUUUGUUUGGGGAGUUAUUCAAGCCGAGAAGUGUUUUUAUUGGAAAGUAUUCGUAUACUACUUUUUCUGAGGUUUGAAGGGGAAAGAUAUCGAAAUAUCUGUCAAUGGGUUUCAGUUCGAAAAAGAGGAUGCUUCGCUAUACAUGAACUACAAACAUUGGGACCACUCUAAAGUCUUGUAACUAUACGUGAACUACAAAACAUUGGGACCACUCUAAAGUAUUGUGAAACGUAGUAUGGACACCUUUGGAAACACCACAACAUUUAGAUGCCUGCUGUUAUCUUUCAGCACAACAAAAUCUUUCAAUUUUCGAAUUGGACGUGCGUAAAUGGACAUUUCGCGUGUAACUUUGUAGGGAUCUGGAGACUCAUUUGUUAGAUUACCAUUCACUGCUCAUAUGAGGGCGAAAAUAGGAAAUUAUCCUUGUGGCAAAAUUGAAAACCAUGGUUGUCAUGCUGUUAUAGAAGCCUGGAAUAAGCUGUGCAGUACUAUUCCCCUCUGGACCUCAAACCUGAAUGCUUAACUGACCAACAAAGCUUUGACAGGAAAAAAGUUAACACACACUGGAAAUCAAUACAACACAUGCUGUGCUUCGUCUCACUGGGAGUCUGCAAACGCCUUGGCCUUUAUCUCAUUGAGUUGCGAAUUUCUAAGGCAGAGACAAAAACAUAUGGCAUGAAGAAGGGAUAUUGACUUGUUGUCCAUGACUGGACCGGUUGAAAAGGACUCCCCACCUGAUGUGGAUCAUGUUAACAUUCUAGCUCACGCUCAACAUCAACAUGGCUUGACCGCCCAGGCUUUGACUCUGAAACCAAAUUAAAUAACCCCUGGUUCAGCUUUAAACUAGGACUGAGCGAGCCAUCCCUGUGUAUUACUAUCAUCUCUGAGUGUGGACUCACUGAGGGUUAUUGAAGAGGAUGAGACCAUGAAAGCAGCAGUUGAUAGGGAGCCGUGGUCUGGGGUGUUGUGCUCGGCCUGGCUGGAGUGGAGAUAAGAGCUUGGGCGAGCGAGAAAGCAGAGGUUUGAUGAGACCAGAGCAGAAUACAAAUCAGCGUCUGCCGUCCCUCCGCCGGACUUCAGCGUCAAACCAAUAUUAGUGUGUCUACUGAAUUAAUAAUACCAACAGUUGUGCAUUGAAAGGUACGAGUAUAACCAAAAUCUAUAAUAUGAAACUAAAUAGCAAUCAUCACUUUUGAGACGAUCAAAACGGAGAUAAGCAAAUAACCCAGUGUGUCUUCAAGACUGAAAUAAGGGAUAAAGGAUCCAUCACGUCCCAUGGAUACGUGUGACAACCAAAAGUGACAUCCAUCGAUGCAGGCCUCUUUACCAUGCGGAGAAGACAACGUGAAGCGUAGGCUCUGAUCGAUUGAGGUGAUGUGCCUCAUCUAGACCUGGAACAAAG